rnacentral:rRNA from 1 species
CACGUAGGGUGCGAGCGUUGUCCGGAAUUAUUGGGCGUAAAGAGCUCGUAGGCGGUGUGUCGCGUCGGCUGUGAAAACCUGCAGCUUAACUGUGGGCGUGCGGUCGAUACGGGCAUCACUGGAGUUCGGCAGGGGAGACUGGAAUUCCUGGUGUAGCGGUGAAAUGCGCAGAUAUCAGGAGGAACACCGGUGGCGAAGGCGGGUCUCUGGGCCGAUACUGACGCUGAGGAGCGAAAGCGUGGGGAGCAAACAGG